ensembl:lincRNA
AUGCUGCCUGAAGGACAGGCUAGAAAGACGCAAAGCAAGAAAGUCUCUCAGUUCCUUACAGUUACCAGAGUAACCCGGACAUCAGCCAUGUUGCCUGGGAAUACCCAGAGUAAGCCACAGUGGCAGGACAAGAAUGACAGCCACGUCAUCUGGAGAAGGCAGCCAGGGAAGCAGUCAAGAGAAAACACUUCUGUGGGUGACUUGAAGAAGCUGGUUACCAUAUGGUUGUUGGCCAAGCUUUGCUGGCUUUUUUGCAGCUUUCUGUUCCAGCAAGUUACUCCCCCAAAUCCUACCUAUUUUAAAAGCAACUCUCACAGGAAGAAAGGCUUGGCAGCCAACAGAUGACCACCACAUUCUCUCCCCCAAGACGUCUGAUUUCAGAAGAAAUUCAAGAAUGAAUAUUUACUGCCUAUAUCUGAUAGAAGAAUCCCAUUUCUCAUGAGAAAAUCAAUGGAUAAUACUCAGCGUUUCUUCAAAACCAAAACUUCCUUUAUCAAAACCUGUAGAACACAGGUUUCAGCAAACUUCGUAAAAUAUUCAGAUCAAAUUUGGGUUUGUUAUUGAUUUUCAGGGGGAUUAAUCUCUUUUAUAUUAAAAGCUCAUUUGGUCACAAGUAAUGGAAAUUCAUUUUGUCUUGCUUUGGAGUGGGGAAUGUGCAAGAACACACUAUGGAACUCAGAACGGAGGAAACAGUUCAGUACGGAUGAGACCCAAGCACUAGAAAGCCAG